rnacentral:RNase_P_RNA from 19 species
GGCUGGAAGCUUUCGAUUAGGGGCCUGCCCCUGGGAAGGUCUGAGAUGAGACGUCUAGCCGAAAGGGCACUUGGUUAAUGCCAAGGGUCGUCCACAACAGAAACACUCACUUCCCCCAUGACCGGAACGGGAUGACUGGGGGGAGUUUGGAAAUUGGACGAUGUCUUAGACUCGAAUAGUCCAACUCGAAAGGCAGCCGUGUUCCAUGCUGUAACCAGAUUCAGACUACUCUCCAGCAGCC